rnacentral:rRNA from 1 species
UACGAGAGGCCCAAACGUUAUUCGGAUUUAUUGGGCGUAAAGAGCGUGUAGGCGGCCAGGUAGGUCCGGUGUGAAAACUCGAGGCUUAACCUCGAGAUGUCAUCGGAAACCAUCUGGCUAGAGUCCGGAAGAGGAAAGUGGAAUUCCUGGUGUAGCGGUGAAAUGCGCAGAUAUCAGGAGGAACACCAGUAGCGAAGGCGGCUCGCUGGGCCACACCUGACGCUGAGACGCGAAAGCUAGGGGAGCGAACAGG